GGCCGUCUAGCUCAGUUGGUUAGAGCGCCGUGCUAAUAUUCAGAGUUCAUUCUUGAUUUACGCGGAGGUCUUGGGUUCGACCCCCACGAUGGCCA